GACGAACGCUGGCGGCGUGCCUAAUACAUGCAAGUCGAACGCAGUGGGGACGGGUGAGUAACACGUGGGUAACCUCCCAUCAGAGGGGAUAACACUUGGCAACAGGUGCUAAACCGAUACUGAUGGAUGGACCCGCGGUGCAUUAGCUAGUUGGUGAGGUAACGGCUCACCAAGGCCACGAUGCAUAGGCGGCCUGGGAGGGGGAUCGGCCAAACUGGGACCGAGACAAGGCCCAGACUCCGUCGGGGGGCAGCAGGAGGGAAACUUUGGCAAUGGGGGGAAACCUUACCGAGCAACGCCGCGUGAGUGAAGAAGGGUUUCGGAUCGUAAAGCUCUGUUGUGAAGGAAGCGGUACUUAACCAGAAAGGGACGGCUAACUACGUGCCAGCCGCCGCGGUAAUUC
rnacentral:rRNA from 1 species